UACAGAGGUCCCAAGCGUUUGUUCGGAUUCACUGGGCGUAAAGGGUGCGUAGGUGGCUUGGUAAGUUCGAUGUGAAAUCUCCGGGCUUAACCCGGAAAUGGCAUUGAAUACUAUUGAGCUGGAGGUUUGGAGGGGGGACUGGAAUUCUCGGUGUAGCAGUGAAAUGCGUAGAUAUCGAGAGGAACACCAGUGGCGAAGGCGAGUCCCUGGACAACACCUGACACUGAGGCACGAAAGCUAGGGGAGCAAACAGG
rnacentral:rRNA from 1 species